rnacentral:rRNA from 1 species
UACGAAGGGGGCUAGCGUUGUUCGGAAUUACUGGGCGUAAAGGGUGCGUAGGCGGUUCUUUAAGUCAGAAGUGAAAGCCCUGGGCUCAACCCGGGAAUUGCUUUUGAAACUAUUGAACUUGAGUAUAGGAGAGGUGAGUGGAAUUCCCAGUGUAGAGGUAAAAUUCGUAGAUAUUGGGAGGAACACCAGUGGCGAAGGCGGCUCACUGGCCUAUUACUGACGCUGAGGCACGAAAGCGUGGGGAGCAAACAGG